UACGUAGGGGGCAAGCGUUGUCCGGAAUCAUUGGGCGUAAAGAGCGUGUAGGCGGCUUGGUAGGUCCGCUGUGAAAACUCGAGGCUCAACCUCGAGAUGUCGGCGGAAACCACUUGGCUAGAGUCCGGAAGAGGAGAGUGGUAUUCCUGGUGUAGCGGUGAAAUGCGCAGAUAUCAGGAAGAACACCUAUGGCGAAGGCAGCUCUCUGGGCUGACACUGACGCUCAUGCACGAAAGCGUGGGGAGCAAACAGG
rnacentral:rRNA from 1 species